AGACUGCUCCAACUUGGCAUCCACCAGUUUCUGUUGAAGUUCUCUGUGCUUAAAUAUUUUAUCAAGGUGCUGCAAAAAAAAAAUUCUGCUGAAUGUGCAGGCUUAAUUAUCUACAUAGACCUUCAUGCUCAUACAUGUACAGCUAUUUACUGGAACAUUUAAAAGACAAAAUCAUUGCAAAACAAGAAGACACUCAACCUAUUGCAAUUACUGAAGAAAUUACAGCUCUGAUAAGAACAAACUGUGCCAGAAUUAGCAUGGGAAGGGAAACUGGUGUACAUUAUCAAUUGUGAUUUAUUGUAAGAAAAAGAAAGCCUUAGCAUCUUUGCCAGUUCUAUGAUCUACAUAUGAAGUUAUCAGUAUAAUUUGGUAUGAUUGACAAUUAAAUAAUUGCUCAUCAAUAAUAAAUAUGCUGGGGACACACUUUUUUUUUAGCUGUUAAGUGGCCAAUGGAUCUAAGCCACAGUGUGGAUGAUGGUGUAGACACAUUGCACCUGCAGUGCUUGGGAGCAUGUGCACAGCCCAUGACAUCCUCUGUGUAGAUACAAGCCCAGGACAUCCCCUUUGGUCUGGCCGCACCUGCACAAUGGAGGGCUUGGGUGACAGGACAUGAAGUGGGGAUCUGGAGAUAAGACCAAACAAACCAGAGGUCUCCUCUAGCCUAUAAAAUACCCAUGGUGAGUUUCAGGAGAUGAAAGUUGCUGAUAACCUUCUUCACUCUUAAUGCACUUAGAUAAAAUUCACAGGAGCAAUUAUUCUGAGUGUCUCUCUCUGGUUUACAUUUUCUUCUUAUAGACACCACAAGAGAGGAGUGUACAUUUCCUUCAUUCAGUAUGGGGCUUCAUACAUGAUUCAACAGAUUUGGAAAAGCAGUUCUGCAUUGCAUAUUCAUCACCACUUGGCUGCACGGAUCUGCAGUUAAUGGGAAUUCCACACACCAGAUGAGUGAAGAUGACAUUUACAUGACGUGAUGUGCAUAUAAUGUACCACAUGUUUCCUGAAAAAGAUGCAAUUUCCUAAAUAUUCAGCAACCUGCUGGAAAAAACAACAGAAGAGGUGCUGUAGACCAGGAAUGUUGUUCAUGUGAGCGCUUUGUUGAUAAUGGAGGAGAAUUAUCUUCAGGGAAGAAUUUCCCAAAAUGACAUGUGGCACCUCCUCUUGCCAGGCUCCUCUGGCUUACGGGACCAUGUGAGAGUGUCUGUCAGUUGUGUUUCUGGAGGUCCUGUCAUCAGUGGGGGUGGGUCAUGGUUACCAAACCUCUUCUAGGCUCUUUGUCUCCACAUAAUUCCUGGAGGAAACAUGGACAGUCCCUGAUGUUCCCUUGGGAGCCUGCUGUUCUGUGGGUGCAUAACUCCUGACUUCCCUAGAAGGCUGGUAGGGUGCGGGGUGUAUUUGGAGGGGGCAAAAAGGACCAGCAACAAAAUUGCUAAUGAUAAUCCCUGCACAGCCUGGCUAUUUUGGAUGUUUGGAAAAAAACUCCUGUAUGGUAAAUUAACACCCUAACAGUCAGGUCAAAGAAACCUUUCACUUCCGAAGAUUUUUAUGAUUUCAUCUCCCUCUCCAACACAGAGUAACCCUCCUCUCUGCAUCACAGGUGUGCAUACAUUGCAAGGUAUUUCUGACAUCCAGAUAUUUUCCGAGUGAAAAAUAGUAGCACACGAGCUUAAACCUUCGAACCUCAAUAAUAACAGUUGCUGUUAAGACUACAUUAUCUAAUAAUAUGGUACCACUUGUACUUAUUAACCCCAGUAUGACUGGGAAAGUCUGUGAGCACUGGGGAAUGAUGUGCAGCUCAAACAAGACAGUCAACAGCAUCAUAUUUUGCACUUUCAUCUGUUUUCUGCAGAUGUUCAGUAAUUUAUGCUUACAGUAGAGAGCUCUGUAUAUUAUUAAUCAAAUCACAGCUAAGUGUACCACAAAACAAUGCUCUCACCAGCUUGGGCUAUAUUUACAGUUUGUGUCCAACUUUUAACAUGUGCAUUGUAUAUUUUUCCUCCUGUAGAUCACAAUAUGGGCUUUUGCAUCUAAUCAAGCUGCACUAGCUGAAAUAAUUUUUCUAGUAUUGUAGAAAAGAAAUUUCUUUUCUGUAAUUAAGGAUGAGAUCUUUUUCCUUCAUAAGCUUGUUUUUUUCCCCUUCCCUUUUCCGCUGAAAAACAUAAAAAGUGCUCUUUUUGCUGUACAUUUUGCAUGCACAGUCUGUGCUCAGUGGAUAAUGAUUUAUCCAAAUUUCGUGAUUCAUUCAAACUAUGCUUG